rnacentral:lncRNA from 1 species
GUGUAACAGGCACAUUGUAGGUUUUCAUCAGCUGGGUCUGAGUCUGGUAGGAUGGGAAAGUGAGGCCUGCCUGACUUGCAUAGUGAGGAAAUCUUGGAAUUAGAACAACACAUACAUAGCGGGUGAGUUACAGGGGUGGGCUCACAUUUCUCGUUUUACCUUGACACUGGUUCAUAUCAAGUGGACUUUACUACUAUUUUGAGUUCUCCUUCCUAAAUUUCUAGCUUCCAGUUUGAGAUUAGAACUAUUUCUUCGUCACCAGGAUAGCAAGCUCUUUUGUGUCUUUUUGUCUGAAGAAAAAUAGUUCUCAGAGUUCCCCCUCCCAUCCCACCAUUCUACACACAGUAUUGCCUUGGACUUGCCCUACUCCAGGAUUCAGCCCCCAGGAUCUGACCCACAACAUUGCCUUGGCCUAUAAAAUUUUCAUUUUGUUCCCUUUAAAAAUAAAUGCAGUGUUUUUAUACUGAAACAAGGAUGCAUCCCACAUGGUCAAACAUAAUUCAAACAGAGCAGUGUGUGUAUUCAAUGAAAAGUCUCCCUCCCCACACCACAGUCCCUGAGUUCAUCUCCUCAAAGACAAUCACUCUACCAUUUUCUUGGGUACCCUUCCACUUUUCCCUCACUUGCAAUGGAAUGAUUGCUGUUUUUAUAGGAACAAAAGACACGCAGGGUCUGCCCAGCAACUGAAGAUGGGGAGAAAUGCCAUCACAGUGGCGAUCCAAUCUCACAGGGGAGGAAACGUGAGAGGCCUGACCCUUCCAUGUUCCUCGCUGAGAGGCUUAUGUGGGGUGAGGGACUGGGUCAAAACAAGGCCCAGCAAUCACAGACAACUGUUCUUGCCACUGAGUCUCCGCCACAUUCCUCAAAGCCCUGUGCACCUGAUCCACACACCCGCAUAGCUGCACAUUCACGGGGAAAGGAGCCUAAUUUCAGAACAGCUGCGGCUUCUUCACUGAGCC